AAUAUUUGAGUAAAAAGAAUUUAUCUUGGAUAAGUACUUCUUCGAAAUAAUUCGUAUAAUGCCCAACUCUGUUCCAACACGAUUUCGCCUCUUUACACGAGCACCGGAUCUCGCGACCGAUCACGAAUCGUGGCCGAUUCUUUGGAAGAUCGACAAAUGGUGUUCAGGAUCUUAUAGAGAUUCACUGAUAUUGACCUCGCUAUAUCCCACACACAUUUUGCAUCGACUACCUUGGGCUUGUUCCGAAAAUUCCAUUGCCCUCACGUGUAUUAUCCCAGGAUUUAUUGUACACGGUGUCCAAAUCGACAGCUGAAGAGUUAAAUGAGCAAAAAUUAUAAUAGAUUUUUUAAUCCUGAAUGUUUUGGUUUUAUUAAUUAAAUUACUUCAAUCUUCAGAAAUCUUUCAGUAAGAUGCUUCGACAGUCAACGUUGUUAGUUCUUUCGUUCUCGUUUCCCUUCAUUCAUGUUUUUAACUGUUUCAAUACAUUAAAAUAGCUCUUUUUAUUAACACUAGAACCGUUAGACUGAUUUUUAGUUUUUAAAUUAUACUGAAAUUGUAUAAAUAUUUCCAGAGCACAUUUGUGGACAAUUUCUUUUGUAAUGUAUUCUGGUGGACUGUUUGCCAAUUACCUUCAUAAUAUUUUUUGACAGAUUGUUUCACAUUUGUUUAAGUUAUAUUGUAAUAGAAAUCGUACAAAGUUCGUAAAUUAAGGAUUGGUAUCUAUAUCAGAAUUUACUGUGCCGGAUACUUGAUAUUUAAGAAAAUAAGUUCAAACGUAGAGUGAUAUCUUUCAUAUUCCUCUUUAGUAUCCUGAAUUUUACUAUUAUGUUAACCGUCGCUCUUUUCGUCGCAAACAUAAAUGCUGACUUACUAAAUUGGCUCACACAUUCUCUCUUAUAUAAGGCCUUCAAUGAAACGACAUUAAUUUACACUACCAACUUAUUUUCAUAUGAUCGAACACCCUUUGAUGUCUACCAUAGGACACCCUGUAUAUUAAAUCCCGCAAGACGAAGCCCGGGUUCACUUUGACGCAGCUUUUCUAGGAUCACAUUCAACACUAGAUCUACCAAUCAGUCGGAGUUAUUAAAUUCAACUUUAUUAUAUACUUUUAUCGUAACUUACCCGAAAAAAAAUUCAUAAAUCAAAAAUCUUUUUCUCUUUAUAAUGACUGUAAAAUUAGAAAUUUGAUCUCUGGUACUUCUAGUGUUCUCGUCGCCAUCUUCGGCUAUCAUCGAGAGACUAUAUCGAAUAUAAAAUAAAAUAAUAAAUGAUUCGAAAAUGAAUCUAGAAAAACUGCGAAUCGGAGACUAGAAUGAACCCCGGACGUCGUCGUCAGUUCGAACGAAUCCGAAUGGAAACCAACUAAUUUGCAUAGCAGACGUUGUACUUUAGCUGAUCGUAGCUGAAACGUAGACCGUGACGAAACGGUUAAUCAAAGGCUCCGGCGAAAGACUGACCGAACACCUCGAAGGCUCGCGUUAGAAGCGAAACUGUGACAGCACUGUGAUCGAUGGAAAAUCAAAAUCGUUGAGUUACACAAGUCGAGUGCUUACGGGUUUAAAAGACGGCGAUAAAACACGAAUCUAGCCAGGAAUCGUUUAGGCGAAUUUGUCGUUCGAAGAGAUCGAAGGGAGCGUGGAGACAUCUCGAAGCGAGAAGACGAGCCGCGCGCUCCCGGAAAUUUUUAAACCGUUUCUCGUGUGAAUUGAGAACUUAGGGCGCGUUGCACGAAGAUACUCGAAAGAUCGAUCCUUGUCCGAUUUUAUUAGACCGUACUUUAUACGAGGGAAGUAUACGCGGGCCAGCCGAAAUCGUACGGAACGAGGGGGACAGCAUUCUCGGUGGUCCUGAAACUGAAAGGCGAUUUCGAUCGACGAAAUCGUUUUCCACGUGGGUGGGCACGUUUUGCAACGAGAGACGGCCGAUCGAGGUGUCCAGAGAGGGAUCCAAAAACAUUGGAGUGGAACGUGUCUUCCAACUUAACAGAUUGUUUACAUCUCGUUCUCUCUUGAACUUUAAGUGUUCCCAACGAUCGGAAACAUUUAUCCUUCGACUAUAUAUUUCGUUGAUGCAUGAGAGUACAUUUAAUUUAUUCAGGAAUUGCCUUUUGUAAAUAUAGGAUUUUAUAUUAAUGUACAAAUAUUACUUUAUGUGUAAUAUUAAAUAUUAUUCAAAUAUUUUGUGUAUAAGUUACUCGGUUCUACGGAUGCUACCUGAUUGCGAACUUUGGUAACUUUGACGUCGCUGUCGAUUUAUUUUCACUCUGUGCUCGUUGUAAUUCCUGAUUUCCGCGGUUCGAGAUUCUUCACGUUUGUUAUUACGAUUUUUGUCGACCGUCUUCGGACCGUGUUGUUCGACUCCCAAUGAGACCCAGAUCGAAGCUUUCGGAAUAAUGUUUCGUUUCGCCGUUUCGGCCGUGCCACGCGUAUAUACCCGUUACUAUAAUAUACACGUUAUUACGCAUAUACGUACAUAUAUUAUAUAUAGAUACGUAUGCGAGGACAUUGCAUAAUACCGACGACACGUAGCGUAUAGAGAAAUAAUAAAAAUAUGAGAGCGAAAGGAUGGAGGACGAAGAGGACUCGCCACUCGCGGUCCACCCGCGCUAUACUCAUUGUCAGCGUAACAAUAAUCCGUGCCGACUAUUCGCGGUGUAUUUUCACGCUUGAACAUGUCGUUCGAUAGUUACGACGCCGAGAAUCGUCAAUCGUUUCUCUCUCUCUCUUUCUCUCCGAUUCUUAUUCUCACGAAACGCGGACGACGCGGUGCGGGAUGUUAACAGACGUUAUGCUGCGUGUCCAUCACGGGAUUUCGCUAAAAGUUUACACCUUGUAUCAGACAGAUACGCCAUGUCGCUAAAAACUGGUUCACACGCGUCCAGUAAUUUAGUCUAGUGACGAGUAGCUAUAGUCCCUGCGCGAGAAGAAGGCACCUUUCUGUUUACAUUCCCCCCUCUAAUUAGCUGCUCCAUUGCUGCAGCUAGUAAGAGGGGGGAACGUAAAGACGAAGGCGCCUUCUUUUCGCGUGAGGACUAUACUUACUACUAAACGAUUUAGUACAUAAGAACGUGUCCGGAUAUAAAGUGUAUCCUUUUCGUUUCAACGUGACAUCUUGUGUCCAUUUGUUACAUUAGUUACCAGUGAGUAGCAGGGGAAGCCUUCUUGAUCAGAAAAAUCCACUGAAAUGGAUCUACUCGACUAAAUUGUUUUACUAAAUUGCUCGACUGAAAUGUUAUGUCCAUACACAGUGAACUAAACUACUCGCCGCUCGACUAAAUCACUGGACCUGGUUAAGCCAGCCCUAACUGUUCACUCUAAUUCUCGUCGAAAGAGUCAAUUUUCAUAUAUGCUCUCUUUUCAUUUACUGUCUUCAAGGAACAUAAGAUGCAAUAGAUUCGAUGUCUUCAUGUUCAAUUGACAGCUUUUGCAAGAACUGUCGUACUAAUGUACGUUCACGUUUCUGGAGGACGUUGAACGAUUUUCGAUUACGCUGCGUCUUCAUUCAAAAUUCUAAAGAACACAGGUUCCAGAAGCUAUUAUUUAACAGUUUUCAUGGAAACUGCUCAUGAAGCUGAUUGGAGAAUCAAUUUUCGAUUAUGUUUUAAUAAGGAUUUUCCUGACAGUCUCCAGACUGUUUGUGAUCACUUAACAGCUUUUACAGAACUGUUAAAAUCUAUAGUGACCAUAGACACAAUUUGCACUGUUCAAAGUCUUGGAAACAUCUAACAAACACAGUCUGGGUCUGUGAAUGUUCAGUAGCGUGAACAACUGAGAAUCUCGGUGAAAAUCUCCGGCGAAUAUAAGUAGAAGAGCAAUACUGUUUGAUAAUUCGUGCCGCGAGUUAACACGAGAAUUUUAGCCGAAAUUUCUGAUGAACAUAUAUGCUCUAGCUCAGCUGCGUGUUUAUUCGAGAUUACCGCUAAAAGUCUCUAGCAGCUGUCCCAUAGUUUAUGCAACGUGUUGGCUUGGGUGUUUUAUGGGGAACUUUUAAUGAACAUAAAUUGGAGAGCAAAUUCUCCGAAGCUGAUGCUGCUGUGUUCACUUGAGUGUCUCGUUGGGAACUUCUAACGAACAUAAAUUUGAGAGCAAACUGUACGGUGGGCUGCGUGUCAACUGGAUGGUUGAUCUCGCGAUAUUAAUCGCGGUCGAGAAUGAACUUCUGUAUUUAAGGGAGAUUUUAGAGCUAUCUCCACCUCAGAUUCCCUCGCGUUUGCUCUGAAAUUGACAGACGCCAGAGAGUUUCUUUCGAAGUCUCGCGUGGAUACGUAAUUGACGGCUGUCAUUUGUAGAUCGAGUCUAAUCUCGGGAGUAAAACUCGCUCGAAUUCCGUGUGGACACGUAGACGUUCUAACGUCGACUAGCGCACUUCCGGGAUGUUGGGUGCACCGCGUCGAUUAUCCGUGCAAUUGAUUAAUCCUUCAUCGUAGCGACAGUCACGCUAACAAGACGGGGAAAUGGUGCGAGGGGAUAUUUCGAAACGAAACGGAGUAUUGCGAGACACUGCCGUGGAUUUUCAAGGCGACGUGAAUUCGGGAUUAGAAUAAACGAUUAGCGGACACGCAGCGUUCAAGUGCCAAAUUUUUAGCGAUCUUAGAAACGUAAUUUAUCGAGCCCGAGACCGAGCAGACGCUUAAUUAGUGGACAGAGGGGUAGCUAGCCCUCGAAAGGCGCAGAUUUGGUUCUUUUCAAUCUGGACUCAGUUUUCGAGAUUUCUUUUCGGUUAGCGGGUUUCUUGUUCUUGAAAAAAAGCUCUCUUUGUUGUUUGAAAAAUGUUCAUCUACGAAAAUAUUUGACAAUAGAACAAACAACAUUCUACAGAAAAUGUUUAUUUAUAAAAGCAAUGGAAGACAGCACUGGUGAGACUUUAUAUUUGUGCGAAAUAUUAAAAAUAUUGUAUUAUAAUUUAUUUGCCAAUCAUUUUAUUAGUGAUUAUUUCAUUAACAACUUUAUUUGUUGCUUUUCAUACUAUUACAUUUCGUACGUCUUUCAGUAUACUUUUCUAAGAUAAAUGUGCAAAUAGUAAAGUUGUUUAAGAGGUAUAUUCUGGUGUGACAAGUGCUUUUUCAGUCACUUUUGCAAAUUUUGUAUAAAGAUUCAAUAUACAAGUUAUUAUUGGCACUACACAUAUUUUUAUUAGAAAGUAAUUCAAUUUGGUAAAAGCACAACACGUCGAAGUCAAGAUUGGGAAAUAAAUAUGUGGAAAAUAGAAUUUAAAAUAUAGCAACUACUAGAACAAAAGGAAAAGUUCACAAUUAAAAAAAUGGUGACACUUUAAAAUUUGAUUACAGAUUUUUCCUGAUUUAUCAAUAUUGACUUGCUAAAUAAAUGAAAAAAAAAUAAACACUUUGAGUCGGUUCAAGUACGAGCCGAAGACAUGGCAUACCGAAUGUGCACCAAAAUUUUGAAGACAAUUGGUCAAGUGCUAUAAUUUUGUUAAUCUUAACAAUUCAGGUUUUGUUGAUGUACUUUAGAACCCAUAUACUUUAAGAAAAUUAAAAAAAAAUCCCCCUUAAAUGCAACAUAAAUUUCUCCUGCCUUGAAUUAAACGAAAAGUUGUAUUCGCUUGAAUCGAAACUUCGUUCGUUCAUCUAUUAAAAAUUCCUAACGCGAUAGAUCUAGAAAGCUAGUUCAGAGUCGAUUGUCGAAUUUAGCGAAAUGCAGAACUGAACCGAGAAAAGACCUAGUCUUCGCCGUUGAGGGUCGAUGCUGGCUCGCGACGACUGAGAACGAAUGAUUAGUACAUUAGACGAAGCUGUAAUGUGAUUCGUCCUAAGAAUUAAGGCGGUUGACGGUCGCGUACGGUCGACGUGACGCGCGUAGACGUUGUGAUAGUUGCGUAUCGUUUUCGUACGCGUUUUACGUGUAGUCGCAGGGUCGCAGGACGCGCUGCAGUUGAUUCGAAGGGUUUCCGAGCGGUUGCCAAUGAAACGUUCUCUAUUUUCCGAUAUUUUUCUAGGGGAUGAGAAAUAUUGACGGUAGUUCGUUAUUUCGGUUCGUUUUUUCGUUCGACGUCUCUGCGCGCGCGAACCGAGGUCAAAGAGCCACGGAAACCUGCGGAAACUAUAUUUUGCCGAAUUCGCAACAAUUUGCCGGCGCAAACGGGAGGCGUCGACAGCGUUUGGUAAAAGAGCCGCGUGACUUUGUGCGGCUGUCAAGCGGGAACGCGAGGCAACGGUUUCAUUGGUAAUUAAACAGGGGGUGAUUUCGGUCCUCGUUAGCGGACGGACGCUUGUCGGAACACAUUCGUUUUAGGACGACGCGUAGAGUCGUCCCCGUUGCAAGCAAUACGAAUAAACAUUUUCCAAUUGGAUAUGUAAUAACGGGAACAUUCACGGAAUAAACCCUUUCAACGGAUACUUGUUGUUACACUUUGAAGUAUGCCGAGAGCGUUUCUACUUUUGUCGUAGGGUAUUUUGUCGUUUAACGAGUGUCGUCGAAUUCUGUCGCUGGAGCGACCGAAAAAGACGAACUCGCGGAACGAGUAGUACUAUUAUUGUGCGAUCGUGUGUACGUUCAUUCGCGAAUUACAUUCUUUCGUGAAGUUUCAAGAGUUUCCUGCUAGAACUUACCGCUUCUUUACGAGCCUUCGUUUCGACACGAGAAACCGCAACACUUCGUUGACUUUGAUCCGAUAAUUGUACCCGAAACGUUCGAGAUAAGCUUGUUUUCUGGACGGUACUAAGCUCAAUGAAUGCGUCAUGGUGGAUAUUGGAAACUCAUGAACUCUUGGAUGAAGAACGAUCAUCAUCGUCGGAUGAAUAGAAAUAAAUUCGUUCGUGUAAGAAAGAAAUGACAAUUUAGGAUAGACUUUUGCAAUACGUGUUAGUAGAAGAUUAGAGUAACGAGAACGGUUGAUUUUCUUGUAAUCGUGACGAGGGGGCGCGAAGGGUUCUUCGAACGUCCCCUGUCGCAGCUAGAAUAUUAAGAGUGAUAUAAUUAUAAGACUGCGGGGCUUUGUGCGUUCAGAGCGAGUGAACGUUUGGAGACAGUUGGACAAUGGAAAAAUACAACCGAAUCAAAAGCUGUACGAUUUCCCUUUCAAUUCACCCAACCACCCGCGAGAGGACAAGCUGGGGUAGUGGGACCAGUUACUGCGGGAUGUCCAAUUGCUGGGACUUUGAUUUGUUUUCGAGCGUAAUUAAUUUUUUUUAUUCAAGUAUUAACAAUCUAAAAUACUAUAAAAUUUUCGUACGUUUUUUUGGAUAAAUAUAAAUUUGAUUAAAGACAUGUUCACCCAUCAAGGACGAUAUCUGUGCAGCGUUCGGACCUUUCGUGUCGUGCUUGUAUGUAUGGAUAAUUUUUAUAAUUCUCCAUAAAAUACUCAAAACAAAUGGGACACAUUUUGUAAAGAUUUUCCGGGCAGAUACCGCAGUGCUUAAAAAAUAUAAAACUAAAAAGAGGAGAAAUAAUUUCAGACGAUGGUCGGUUUUUGUUAUAAUCGUCGGUAAAAAAACACGAAUCGUGCGUCGUCUUGGCGGGCCAAUGAAAUGACAUACUAAAUGUUUUUAUUGAAAAAUGAACAAAGUCAAAGAAUACAAAAAUUUUUGUAUGCUUUCAUUUUGUUUAUAUUCUAGCAAAAACAUUUAAUACGUCUUUUUUUCGAUACACGUUGCUAAAAGCAAAUCCAAGACAUUUGGUCAUGCCACAGUAACCGGCCCCACCAACCUCACUCAUUCGAUUCCCGUGCCUCCGAAUUCGCAUGAAGCUCCGCAGUCCGCGUUGCAACUCGAUUGAUUUGUCCUUCGAAGAGAACUUGUUCCAGCCAGACGAUUCGAAUUAUUUUUCGCGGUGUUCUGUUCGAGGAAUUCCCAUCUGUACAUGAAACUAACGAAUUUUUACGAGUGCGUGAAUCCGUCAGGGUAACUUCAAUUGCCCUCAGGGGACAUGGAGACGGAGAUUCUCGUCGAAUCGUUGCUGGGUAGAUUGCUCGUAGAAUUCCUCGAGGUGUAAAAGUAAUCGUAGCGGGAGUAAUAAGGGAGGACAACGUGUCACAGCGAACCGAAUUUAACAAGGAUUUUUAUCGGAUGCGAAUCACAGGCGAGAAAUGGAAAAACAAUCGUAUCGAAUGACUUCUGACCGCGCUAACUCAGAUUCCCUUCGUCUUAAAGAACGAAACCCUUUCCGCUAGACGCUCUUUGUCAAACGAUUCACCGAGGAACCCGAGAUUAACUUGAACGGCGAGGAAGCAAAAUAGCUGAAUAGGAACGUCCGCGCUAUGCGUGCUCUAAUAAUCAUACUUGAAGAAAAAGGGACGCGUGCGUGACAAGACCUAAACUCGAAAGGGGGUAAAGAAUAGACCGGGAGCGCGAGGAAGAACGAAACUAUUAAACGUGUACCGCUAAACAUAAUCUAUACAUAUUUAAAACUAUCGAAUGCUAAAGUCAUAUUCGUAAUACCACAGCAAACGGGAGAAUAAAUAAACUAAACUAAAGGAAUGAAUAAUCGAUUAACCGAAUAUUAAACGCUAGUCUGUAAUCGAUAGUCACGUAGUUAUAACUUCGAGCAGUAUCUAUAGGGAUGAUUCAGAGGUAGUCUAUUAGAGAUUAGGGUCGCAAUCGAGAUGAUUUUCUCUACGAAACUCUAAUGAAAGGAAGCUAAUAACUAAUUAUCUCCAGAGUAACCUAUUGAACUUAACGAAGCCGCGUAUGCGUGACACGUGAACACGUCGACGUGAACGGAAGACCGGAGGGGUAGAGGGAACGAGGUGUAGAGCAGAAUGGUUUUUCUCAGAUGGCGAGCCUGAGGAAACGACAGAGAGACGAGAUGGAAAAUAACAAAUUUGCACGAAUCUCUUUCUUCUCUACCUAAUCCCCUUUCUUCCCUGCUAUAUAUUUUAACGAACAAUUGUCUCUUGUUGUCCACCGUUACACCAGACGUCGAAGUCGUUACCAAACCGAAUAAUCCUGUGCGAGAAUAGAACGAAGAGUAAAUCGAAAAAUUACGAGAGUGAUAGCUAGCGAGAAAGAACGAGCGAGAGGGAGGGAAAGAAAGGGAGAAUGAACGCGACGAGUGAGAGCAAGAAAGCGUGUGAGAGAGAAAGGGAGAGAGAGAGAACGAGAGAAAGAGAGAAAGAAGAGAUAUAAUCUUUGCGUUACCUUGCAAAUUAUAGAAGGAAAAAAAAAGAAAACUGAUGGAAAAUAAAAUAUUGAAAAAGAUACUCCCUUUUCCGUAGACCCUGGUGGGACGAUGCAAUUGAACUGACUCACCCUCGAUCUCACUUGAUUUUUAAUUAUGCCUCGACAACAGCCUGGCCUGAUAUUAGUAAAUUCAUAUUGAAGAACGUUAAAUAAGGCUCUUUUUCGAGGCAGAAACGUUGAUCGAUAUGAAAAUCCCUGUUAACUGGUGAGCACAUAAUCGCCGCAUUGUAAUAUUAUUAACAUUAUUACGUUAUUAUGAAAUUGUUGAAAUAAAUGAAAUGAAAAUAAA